ensembl:processed_transcript
GGUGGUGAGUCUCCGGCAUUCAAAGGUUAGAUUAUUUUGCAUUGGGUUUGUUCACUAGGUUGGCUGUUUCUAUGAUGAAUCAAACUAGCUCACUAUGACUGCUAAUGAAAACACAGGAACACCUGAGAAACGGAAAGGUAGCAUGUGGGGGCAAGAGCACUUAUAUCCAGCCUUUUCAACCUUGGCUAUUUUUCUCCAGGUUCUGUUAGUGCCAUACUUGUUGGUUUACAGAGAUGGUGUGUCUGGCUGAGACCAAAGGAGCCAUGCCAGGAAAGUUAAAGCGUAUCUUCAUUUUUAAGUCCAGGCUAAAGUAAGGUGAGAAAACUUAUGUAAAGUAUGCUGAACUAUAGUUUCCCCAUGAAGAAAUGUUCAAACGUCCUACUUCCUGUCCUAGCUCCAGAGCCUGAAAAGGUGAACCCACUGGGGCUGGCUGGGGGAAAAGAGGAAACUUUGUUCCAGAAGGAACUGUCUGAGGGAUCAUAUUUAUGC